UACGGAGGGGGCUAGCGUUGUUCGGAAUUACUGGGCGUAAAGCGCACGUAGGCGGUUUUUUAAGUCAGAGGUGAAAAGCCCGGAGCUCAACUCCGGAAUUGCCUUUGAGACUGGGAGACUUGAAUCCAGGAGAGGUGAGUGGAAUUCCGAGUGUAGAGGUGAAAUUCGUAGAUAUUCGGAAGAACACCAGUGGCGAAGGCGGCUCACUGGACUGGUAUUGACGCUGAGGUGCGAAAGCGUGGGGAGCGAGUCCGG
rnacentral:rRNA from 1 species